UUCUUCGGAGAGUUUGAUCAUGGCUCAGGACGAACGCUGGCGGCGUGCCUAAAACAUGCAAGUCGAACGAGGGGGCAACCCCUAGUGGCGAACGGCGGAGUAAGACAUGAACAACGUGCCCUGAAGUCCGGGACAAACGCAGAAAUGCCAUAAAUACCGGAUGUGGCCCGAGGUCGGCAUCGACCUCGGAUUAAACGGACUUUCGCUUCAGGAGCGGUUCAUGGCCUAUCAGGUAGUUGGUGGGGUAACGGCCUACCAAGCCGACGACAGGUAGCGGGUCUGAGAGGAUGAUCCGCCCGAGUGGGACUGAGACACGGCCCACACACCUACGGGUGGCAGCAGUUGGGAAUCUUGCACAAUGGGGGAAA
rnacentral:rRNA from 1 species